rnacentral:SRP_RNA from 1 species
GCUGGGUGCAGCGGUGCAUGCCUGUAGUCCCAGGUACUCAGGAGGCUGAGGCAGGAGGAUUGCUUAAGGUAAGCCCAGGAGUUCUAAGGCAUAGUGCUCUAUGGCAGUGGAGUGUCCAUACUAAGUUCAGCAUUUCCUGGAAGUGAGGGACUACCAUAUUGCCUAAAAAGGGGUUAACUGGCCCAGGUCAGAAACUCCUCUGCUCAUCAUUAGUGCAACUGUGUCUGUGAAUAGACACUACACUCCAGCGUGGGCAACAUAGCAAGACACAAUCUGU